UACGUAGGGGGCAAGCGUUGUCCGGAUUUACUGGGCGGAAAGAGCGUGUAGGCGGGCAGACAGGUCCGUGGUGAAAACUAGAGGCUUAACCUCUAGACGUCGAUGGAAACUGUUUGGCUAGAGUCCGGAAGAGGAGAAUGGAAUUCCUGGUGUAGCGGUGAAAUGCGCAGAUAUCAGGAAGAACACCCGUGGCUAAGGCGGUUCUCUAGUACGGUACUGACGCUGAGACGCGAAAGCGUGGGGAGCGAACAGG
rnacentral:rRNA from 1 species